CGCUGUAGCGUGCAGCCUACACCCGGCCGUCUCGGCAAUUUUCUCCGGCCUGCCGGUAGAGACUGACCGAAGCCGAGACGAGUAGGAGGGUCGCCGCGGUCAGCGCUGAAGCCUUAGACGCGAGUCUGGGUGUAGCGGCCGCGGGUGCCGAUCUUGGUGGUAGUAGCAAAUAUUCG
rnacentral:rRNA from 1 species